rnacentral:rRNA from 1 species
GUGAGGAAUUUUGCGCAAUGGGGGCAACCCUGACGCAGCGACGCCGCGUGGAGGACGAAGUCUUUCGGGAUGUAAACUCCUGUCAGUGGGGACGAUAAUGACGGUACCCACAGAGGAAGCACCGGCUAACUCCGUGCCAGCAGCCGCGGUAAGACGGAGGGUGCAAGCGUUGUUCGGAAUUACUGGGCGUAAAGCGUAUGUAGGCGGCAAGUUAAGUUCAAUGUUAAAGCCCACGGCUCAACCGAGGAGAUGCAUUGAAUACUGGCUAGAUAGAGGGUGUUAGAGGAAGACGGAAUUCCCAGUGUAGCGGUGAAAUGCGUAGAUAUUGGGAGGAACAUCGGUAGCGAAAGCGGUCUUCUGGGACAUACCUGACGCUGAGGUACGAAAGCGUGGGGAGCAAACGGGAUUAGAAACCCCAGUAGUCC